AUACAUACCGGGCCUUGGCUGUAUUUUAAGUUAUGUUGGCAUCCUCACUUCAAACCAGUUUAUGAGCAAGUACAAUACCAUGGGCUACCUUUUCCCAGCGUUUUAAGAAAAAUUUACCUUCUAUUACAUGACAUACAUGGAUUUUUGGAAGACCAAAGCACUCUUCUUCGGGUUCUAACAGCUGGCAUCACCGAUGUAUCAGACCUGUGCACCGUGUCUCCUGAAUAGAUUUAGCCUCCUGCUUUCAGGAUGGUUUAUGGAGCUGAAGAAUCUGUAACCCUGUAAGUAC
rnacentral:sRNA from 1 species